CACCCCUGGCCAUGGGCAAAGAGACACCUUGUUGGUGGUAUUGUUGUUACAUCAGUCAGGGGCAGAGCAGAUGGCAGUCCUUUUCUUCACCCUAGCUUUAUGCCUGGCUUGUUGGCCAAACCUUUCUUAUGCCUAGGACUCAUAA